AAAAUGCGAUAAGUAAUGUGAAUUGCAGAAUUCAGUGAAUCAUCGAAUCUUUGAACGCACAUUGCGCUCGCCAGUAUUCUGGCGAGCAUGCCUGUUCGAGCGUCAUUUCAACCAUCAAGCUCUGCUUGCGUUGGGGAUCCGCGUCUGACGCGGUCCCUCAAAAACAGUGGCGGGCUCGCUAGUCACACCGAGCGUAGUAACUCUACAUCGCUAUGGUCGUGCGGCGGGUUCUUGCCGUAAAACCCCCAAUUUCUAAGGUUGACCUCGGAUCAGGUAGGAAUACCCGCUGAACUUAA
rnacentral:misc_RNA from 1 species